rnacentral:lncRNA from 1 species
GCCACUUCCACACCAUGAGGAUAAGCCAAGAUUCUGAAAGGAACUUUUGUUAGGCCUAAAAUCCAAGUGUUCUCAGACCCUGAAUUUUUUAGGUUUAGCAUUUUCAGCUUCUAAACCUGAAAGCAUCAAAGAAAAGUACCAGGAACCUUUCUGUAAUUCCUUCCUAGCCUUUUAUACCAAUUCAAUCAUGUACCUACUGGCUCAUGAAAGCUAAAUAAACCUAAUGUCUGAGCCCGCCCAGGACAGCCAAAGGUCUCUACCUGGCUUUGUUCCUCCAUGCUAAGAAUAUUCUUGUUCAUAUUCUUUGUUCCUCUCCGUUGGCAUAUUCUCCAGUGUUUAUGUGUGCACUCUCCAGUACUGAAUCCUGGGGUACUUGUUUUCCUCUGGCUUAGUUUAUUCUUUAAUUUGUGCACUGCCCAUUGCCUCCAGCAUAUAUUUCCUCUUCCAGCCUGUGACCAUGGAACCUAGUCUUUGUCCCCAACCAAUCACCUGGCAUCUGGAUGGAUGAGCUUAUCCAGAACAGUUGAUUCUAAGCUGUAAGGCUUUAUAAAGGUGUCAGCCAAGGUGAAUGAGGGGCAGUAUGUGCAUCAGGAUGACUAAAUGAGUUGAUCUGCUUUCAUGGGGCUAGGUAAUAGGAGACCACGGAGUGUUGGUGAAUGUCUGCCAAAGACAAUUUUUAAAAUUUUAAUAGUUAAUAUCGUACUUUUGUUUUUGUUCUUUUGGUGAGGGAGCCGGGGGUAAAUACUGGGAGAUCAAACCCAGGACCUUGCAAAUGCUAAGCAUGCACUCUACCACUGAGCUAUAUCCCUAGCCAUAUCCCCAGCUAUAUCCCCCUCCCCAAACCCAUCUCUCUCUUAAGAUCACUGUAAACUAUGAUUUUCCCUCUUGAACUCUAAACUCCCAGGGGCAAUA